GCCGAGCGCCCCGCUCCGCCGUGCGUUCGCCGCGCGCGCCCGCUGCCCUCGGGCGCCCGGGAAACUUCGCGGCCGGGGCGCGGGGAGAGCCGGCUGGCUCCGUCGGCAGCACGGUUCCCAGACUGAGGACGGGGGCUCCAGGUGGGAUCCAUAUAUGAUGACAAGAGCUAUAGCGGCCAGCUUGGAGUCAAGGAUGAAGGUCAUAUCUGGAGGAUGAUAACAUCAUCUGAUCUUUGAUCUGUUACAAGAUCUCACAUUGGAGCAUAUUUGCUUGCCUCAUUAUUUUCCAUACGUAUUACUCCAUGGUAUGUGAAGUGAGAGACUGUCUGAUUCCAAUAACUAAGGUAAGGAAGACGUUCAAUUAUCUUUAUUUCUCUUUAGCUCAACUUAAUUUCAUCUCAAGAUUCAAUUCCCAUGGGUGGCCAAAAACGGAAUCUCUGCUACUUCAGGGUUUUUCUGCAUGGCAUUUAUCUGAGUUCCAUGAGACGUAUGUAGAGCAGAAGUCCUAAGACAUGAAUGUGGCGUCUAACAAGAUGUUGUCUUGUUGUUGUCAUUCUGUGCUGGCAGAUGCUAAGAUGUCUACUGUUCCCCCUGGUCCUCAAGCACUGCUCCAUGUAGAUCUCUCUUGCUCAUCCCUGACUCCUACUCCAAUUCCCUUAGAUACUUUGGAUCUCCCUGAUGUGUCUACGCCACUCUCAGACACACGGGAUUACUGAACCAUGCUGGCAUUUGGGAGCCAUUCCUUCCUAUUCUGUUUUUUUCAGCACUAUGUCAGGAUGCUGUCAAAAUUGGUGGUCAUGGGAGUUGGCUGGGGGUGGGGGUAGAUUCUAGUCCCAUGCAGGCCUUUAUCUAAGAGGCAGGUUUUCUUUUCUCUUAGACUCAGCAAAAUGAUCUGUAGCUUUUGUUACUAACCGUCCCUGGAUUCAGCCUGAAAUGGAAGGCUCCUUUCUAGUGCACAUACGUGCUCCUCCUAUAACUGCUUCCCUUUUGCCAACCCAGGAAGUUUUUAUCUUGGAGGGCAGAUAAAUAGGUUUCUCUUGUUUACUGCACAAGCUUCUAAAUAUCAGGGUCUACGCAUUUGAAACUCAAAAGCCAAAUGUUCUCUACGUAUUUGUCAUUUGCAUUCUGCUGUGCCAUUUGUCCCCUGAAGCAAGGGACCCACUACACCAGGUGAAAAAGAUAAUCAGUCUUACCCCCAAAACAGGUAAUAUUACAAAAUGUUAUCUCAUCACAUGUAUAUAUGUCCUAUUUGUGAAAUAUAGGUAGUAAUUUCUGUUAUUCCAUUGAUUGCUGUUGCUGUUGUUAUAAGCCACAUUAACCAUCUUUGUCCAUUAGCUUGAAAAUUUAUGGAAGAAUAUUGACAAUAUAAGUCCUAGCUUUGGAAUUCCCAGGAGAAAGUGCAAGGGAAAGUAUCAUUUAAAUACUGAUGGAUAGGACAACAUUUCCCCUCUGGAAAGGUUAUACCACCACAAUCUUGUACAGAAGUGCAUACUUCUCAAAAAUAAAUAAAAUAAAAUAAAAUAAAAUAAAAUAAAAUAAAAUAAAAUAGUAAA